UUACAAAAAGUACGUUAUUUUAUUUCUUAUACUAAUAUAACUCUCGAGGUAAUAAUUUCUCAGGCGUGGAAUAAGCUGAGUUUCCGAUACCACAUUAAAACACUAUGUUCUUAGUUGUCGUUAAUUUUUGUUUCGAAUUUCGUGGAACUGAACAUAAGCUAUUUUGGCUAUAAUCUGAAUUGAAAAUUAUAAAUAAAGCCUUGGGCUUUAAAUCAAUUUUUGGCCCACUAAAAUAAGAAGCCACUCUUCUGGCUUCUUAUUUUACACUUUUGCCUACGCAAGGAAGAAGAGUUUUUACUUUCUCUUCUCCUUUAACCGACAUUAUUGUACUGUUAUUCAAAACUGAACUAGUUUCAUCGGCUUCAGCCAAGAUUAAUAGUAUUUAGUUUUAGUUUCAAGUGGUAUUCGAGCCACUGUUACUUCGACGAGUCCAACGACUAAC
rnacentral:lncRNA from 1 species